rnacentral:rRNA from 1 species
AUUGAACGCUGGCGGCAUGCCUAACACAUGCAAGUCGAACGAGUGGCGGACUGGUUAGUAAUGUCUUGGAAACUGCCUGAUUGAGGGGGAUAACUACUGGAACCGGUAGCUAAUACCUCAUACCAUCGGACGUGUCCACAUGGGAUUAGCUAGUAGGUGGGGUAACGGCUCACCUAGGCGACGAUCCCUAGCUGGUCUGAGAGGAUGAUCAGCCACAGUGGAACUGAGACACGGUCCAGACUCCUACGGGAGGCAGCAGGGGGGAAUAUUGCACAAUGGGCGCAAGCCUGAUGCAGCCAUGCCGCGUGUAUGAAGAAGGCCUUCGGGUUGUAAAGUACUUUCAGCGAGGAGGCGUUACCCGCAGAAGAAGCACCGGCUAACUCCGUGCCAGCAGCCGCGGUAAUAC